rnacentral:misc_RNA from 1 species
AAGUCGUAACAAGGUUUCCGUAGGUGAACCUGCGGAAGGAUCAUCAAAAGUCCACGCUGAGGCUCCGGCCGAGGCAACCUUCAUGAGCACCGUUGAAAGUCAUGGCAGACUGGGGUUUCUGUAGCGGAGAGAUCUGAGACAGAGCCCCAGCCGGCCGUUGUUAUACCAACACUGUUAACACACUCUAAACAACUGUCUAGCGACAUUAAUAUAAUACAACUUAUAGCGAUGGAUCUCUAGGCUCUG